GACUCACUGACCACCCUCCUUCUCCACCCACAGGUGAAGCGCAGGAACUGCGGGGCCUUUGGGCACAUGGCCAGCAGCAGGGGGUGCCCCGUGAAGUGCUGGAGUGGGGCCCUUGUGCUGCAGCCUUUAGGCUCCAAUAAGAAGGAGAACCAGGAACCCAUGAGCACCAGGACCUGGAGACUCCAGGGUCCUUGAACCAGCCUGACAGAGAGAUGGAACCAAGACAGAGGUGAGGAAUCACAAGCUCUGAACGAUGCUCGGGCAACGGAACCCCAGGAGAUUGUGUCUCCCCCUCUACUCUUCCUGCACAGCCACCUCAGGCGCAGACAGGAAGACUCAAGAGAAGCAGACAGAGCUCCGUGCCUUCCAGGGGCUAGCCCUCAGAGCUCACUCUAGCCCUGAGAAUCGCGGAGGGGGAAGGGCCAGGGCGUAUCUUGGGAUGUGGCUUAUGGCUGACGGAGAAGCAGCAGAAUCUAAAGGAGAGCACUUCAUGCUGAAACCACGCAGAAGAAAGUUCUACCACAGAAAUUUCCUGAGACCCCAAGAGAAGAAGCUGAGUCCCUGGAGAGAAUCCACAGAAAUCCUGUCCCUCUCUGAGGCAUCCCACCAGGUCAGUGCCUCUCCAAACAACCCAAAAGAGAUCUGUCCUGCGCCCUGUUCUCACAGGUCAGCCACCUGUCAAGACACUCGAUAUGAGGUCCUUGUACACUACACCGUUUCUCAAGAAAGCACCUGAACUGAGUACUUGUGGACCAGCCCAAAGACAUGAGGUGACCUUCACUGACUCAUCCCACCAAGCUCUAAAGGGCUCCUGCCAGGACCCACCUCUCAUUGCCAAGUCGACAGCCAGCAGGCCUGAUGUUCUCCCACUUUGUUCCCCAGUCUACCAGGAAGACACUUGCCCUGGGUCGUGUCUGUAACCCCCAGGCACAAGUCCAAUGUCCUUAUGUGGACUCAAAACCUAGCUCACAGACUGCCACACAAAAAUGUGGCACGAACUCUAAGUUCAGCAUCUAGGCUGGGGGCAGGAGGUCUUCCCAGGUCCCAGUCUAGACUGGCCAGAACCCCCCCCCCCAAAAUAAGAUUCAGCAUUUUUAAACCCCAGCUGAGUUCUCAGUGACCUCGUCUGGAGGCUGUCCAGGCUUUUCAGCUUCCCCCCAGCACAACUGGACUCGGAUCCAAACAGACACCCCAAGUGACCAGGAAGACAACAGCCCUGAUGCCCAGCUUUGACCUCCAGGCUCCACUCAACUCCCCAACUCACCUCACCUGAGCCCAGUCCAGACAGUACUGUCUCCCAGCCCCCAGGAGGCAUGUUAUAAGCUGGCACAGUCUUCAUGAGUUGGGACAAGGAAUGACAGAGUUCCAGGUUCUCAACCACUCCUACCUCCCUCCCUCCAGAGAAGUCUACACCUGCAGCCAGAGCCCUCACAUCUUAGAGAAUUCUGAGGGACAGAUUCCCAUGUCCCAGCAAGUGUCUUCUAUGAGGACCUUCUGAUCUUAUUCUCACUCCAGGAGAGUGACUGUGAGUGGGAACCUCCGCCCCUCCCAUGGAGAGAAGACGGUGCCUCAAGUCUCACACGACUGAGAAGACAGUGAGAGACUGAGGAGGGGAAAGAGGCAAGAGCAGCUGUGUCUGGUGAAUCAGAGCUUCCCCAGGUGGGGCCUGUGCAAAUGCUGGAACUCCAGAUAAUACUGGGGAUCAAUGAACAGACACUACCUUUAAAUUUUGUAAAUUUAUUUA
rnacentral:lncRNA from 1 species